GACUCAACUUCAGCCGGAGCGCUGAUGGAGUGACACCACUCGGGGCGGGCUUUAAAGAACGCCCCUUCUGUGAGCCAAUAGAAUUGCUCAGAUCAGAGAGCUGUCAAUCAAAAGCGGAGAACUGGCCAAUCAGUUACACCGAAUGUUCCUGCGCUCCAGCGCUCUGUGUCUGAAACGCACUUAAAAGUCGUUCCUAUGUAAGUAGGUUAAAGGUCGUGUGGCUGUUGUGACUGAACGCAGGGCUGACAGCAUAUCUACACCUCUCUACAAUUCAAUUAAAAUAUUGCAACAUGUGAUGAGAUUAAUGAAGUUUAUGAGACUUCGAAUCAACCGGAUAUAAUCGCAAAAUGAUUCAGUGAAGCGCUCGAAACAGCACAUUAGCGACACCUGCUGGACACAAUCAAAAACUCCACUUAAAAGUACUCAGUUCACUUUUUUUAUGUAAAAUAAAGAGUUAGAAGUCUUGUGUAGUAAUAAAUAUCACACAAUGUAGAUUUCUUAAAGUUGCUCUAAGGUUUAUGGCAAAAAUAUAUGUCUAUCUGCCAAUUUUAUUUACCGUAAAAUAAAGAUUAUUUUUAGUCUUAUCAGUUUGAGCGGAUUUUUAACAAUAUUAUUAGCCUUAAAAUGUGACUUCAUAGAUUAUAUUAAUAAUAAAUAAUAUUUAUUGUAUUAUUAUAUUUUAUAUGUAUUUUAUAUUUAUUUAUUGUAUGUAUGAAUAUUAUUACAAAUUAUAAAUAAAAUGCUGUAUGCUGUAAAAAAUAAAAAAAAAGUGGAUAAAAGCGUCUGCCAAAUGCAUAAAUGUAUAUUUAUGUAAAUUAUAUUUAUUUUACUGUCUAUGAUAUUUCCACACUCCAGUUCAGUUGGUGGCAGUAAUGCAGCAUAAGCUGGUUUACCAUUACACCUCAGAUGAAGAAGAGGAUUGUCACGUGACUGGAGUGUUUGUCCCUUGAGUCAGAGCACUGAAGGAUCAGAUGGAGCUCCACUCACACUACAGUCAGACUCAGGAACAAGUUUGUCUGCAGCCACAAAUAUCAAGAAAAGAAAGUUGUGCAAAUAGCUGAAGGUGUUGCAGCCAG
ensembl:lncRNA